GGGCAUCCCUACAUGGAAACUCCAAAAAGAAGUAAAACAAUUUCAGCAAGAUACUGGGCCUGAACUAAAUAAGUCAGGAAGGGACAGUAUCAGAAGGCUGUCCACCCUGCAAUAGAAGAUGGCACUGGAACAAACAUUUUUACAGACUGAGGAAAGGUGGUAACAUCCCAGUGAAUCCAUAAGCCAGGUGGUGGUUGCAACUGUACAUUAGGAUAGACAAGAAAUCAAAAAAUUAGACUAUGGUGAAAGAAAGAGCUAAAGGGCUG